UUAUUUUAUUUUAUUUUAUUUUAAGGCGGGGCAUAUUUGACUUUACGACUAGUAUCAGUGUACGGAUACCAAUCUCGAUGUCUUCCCCUCCCUUUGUGAGAUUUUUUGAGUCUUUCAAUUGACUUACGGUUUCCCUCCUGCCCCCUCUGUGCCAAGGAAUAGAACAUUUCUUUGAUUGAUAGGUCAGAUAGGAAGCAGACACGCAAACCAAGUCUUUCCAGUCGGUGCGCUCAUUCCGAAUUUAUUUGUACCGCGCAGAACUUUCACUUAUAUAUGCUAUUUUUUGCAUAAGGGCCCAAGCGGAAUCCUUACGACAAGUUCGCUUAGGGUGUUGCUAGCGUAGGAGGACUGCGAUCGGCCUAUAUACUACCUUACCUGUUUUCGAGUGUGGAAGCAAGCGGUCCUUUGUUUUGUUUUGUUAAGGCUGUUCGAGUUCUAUUAUUGACAAGGUUCAAAGCCAUAAAGAAUCGAUUUCAAAAUAAAAUGCUAGCAGAUGGCGGGCCCCUUUCACUUGGGCUAAUUCCCGCUUUCAAGCGUAGGCUGCGAUGUGGCAUAAAGAUGAAGAUACUAAGGUGGAUUGGAACUCAUGGUCAGCUUUCUUUCGUCGAGGUUACUUCUGCAUUAAAUCCUGGCACAGGGUUUUCG
rnacentral:misc_RNA from 1 species